GAAGACAGGAAACCAGACAGUAACCGGAUAGGCCGUCGCUGGCAGAGUGUUGAACAAACUUCCCCUGGCGCCUUCUGGUUCCGCGCUGGAGGAGGUAGAGCGAGCCAGGAACGGAGAAGCACCCCGCUCCGCUCUGCGCUCCCCUUUCCAGGGCGAGCAGAAGGCGCUGCGCAGGCUCCGGCUGCCCGCGCCCCCGGGGCACAGAGGCCGGCGAGGGGGGCAGCCGAAGGCCUGGAUCGCCUGGCCCGCGCUUUCCGGGGAGCCAUCGAAGGCUCCAAGGCCUCACCCGCCGCGAUGCCAACUUUCUAGAAAAGGCCGCGUCCCGGCCUCCCUGAGCUGGGGCGCCGUCUCCUCGGGGCUCGCUCCACCUUUGAGCAGCUUCAGGAGGGCAAGAAAGGUCAGACCGGGCGGAACGGCGGCGCCAGCGCCACCCAGGCCCUAUUGGGCACCCCGAAGUGUCCGCCCUGCCUCUCAUCCCUGUCCCUCCGCCUUCCUUAUUCCAGCGUUACCUGCGAAGACCCGGGCUCGGAUGGAAUCAGACGAGUCUUCGGGAUUUCUUCGAGAACAUUCUAGAGAGAAGGCAAAAUUCACCUCUGAAUUUGGCUCGAAGAUUUAGAGCAGGAGAGGUGGCGGGACAAGAAGGUGCCAAAUAAUGCGCGUCUAGAAAGAACGAGGGUGCGCGUCCUGGUGGCGGCCUGGAGAACUAAGCGCUCUUUCUUCCCAACCUGGGACUGAGCCGGAACCAGGUCACACUCGGUGCCUGCGGCUCCAGCUGGCCCACCCUCCCCGCCAGGCCACCGGCCAGAACAAAAGGCGCGGCCGGACUUCCAGGAGGAGCAUGGGCCUGCGAGUGACCAGCGAAACGAUCCGAGUGCGAGGCGCACCCGCCCGCGCGCUCCAGCCACACCCACCCACCCCGACUUCGAAAUUAGGAAGCCCAAUUCGGCACCCCGAUUAUGGCUGUGAAUGUCCCGAGUGACCCCCAAAUCCGUGCCCCGCCGUCUCCGAGCCUCCCUGGCGUCUCCUGGGGCGCGGGGCGUCGGGGGCGCGGAGGCCCGAGGUCGGGACGCACGCCAAGGCCCUUCUCCCCCCGCAUCUCCUCUUUCUUUCCCUUUCUCUCCUCCCUUCGGAAUCUCCGUCCUCUGCUUGCUCCAGUCCCCACAGGAAGAGGACUGGGAACGCAGCGAUUACAAGGCGACGUGCCUUCUCCCCCGUCCCGGACACGCCGGCCCUGGGCUCGCCAAGGGGAAGGGUCCGUUCAGCUUGUUACCGAGCCGCCCGGACUGAAGCGAAGGGCGCGGGAGCCGGGGCGUCCCGGGGGCGACCCCGCGGGCCCUAGCUCUUUCGGCGAUGGGCGUGAGCCGGGUGAGGUCCCCGUGAGCAAAGUGCAUUUGGAUGGGGGCGCUGGAGCGCGCGGCUCGGCUUGUUGGCUUGUUCGCGCGUUGUCGCCAGCGCCGUGUUUCUUGUCCCUGGCGCCAGCUCGGUGCCAUCCCAGUGAGUUUGAUUGAAACACGGCUGCAAGAAGGUGUCGAGCAGGGAACGCGGCUUGCAAGGCGGGAGGGGCGAGUAAAGGGACCCGGAGAGGCUCUGGAAGGCAGCGGCAGGUCACGCCGCGCGGCGCUGCUCGGGGACUGCUAUUUUGAAAUCGGGUUGCUGUCCCCUCCAGGGCGCAGGAUGCAAGGGUCAAGUGUCACUUCCUCUGGCAGUCAAUCUCCAAUAUUCCUUGUAAUGUUCCUAAAUGGACGAAUUCAUUACGCGCGGACAUGUGAAUGGGGGGAGGCCGCCGGCGCGCCUGGUCAAUAGCGUCCACUAAUCGUUCAUUUUGCACUGCGGAGCGCGGGCCCUUGGAACCAAAGGAGGAGCCUAAUCAAUAUUGUUUACUUCCUCGCCGCUGCCGGCGUAAAGGUCACUUAGGGAAGGCGGGAAAGUGCAGGCACCCGACAGGUCCUAAUUGUCUCCCUGCUUUUCCCUGGGUGGACCUCCUCCACCCUCUGUCCGCCUUUCAAACGCAGUCUCGGCCGCUGCGGCGCGGUGGAGGGACCCGUCUCCGCCACAGCCGCUGCACGUCCCCGGUCCCCGUGCACACGCGCCCCCGGGCGCGCACAAGGCGCCCACUCUCGGAUCCACGUGCUGGCGGCCAAGGCGGCUGGAUUCAACCCAGUCUCACAGCGGCGGCGGCGUUUCAAAGGGUGUGGGGAGGGGGAGUUGCUUUUUAAGCAGGGGGCUUAGCUGAAAGGAAAGCUCCGGGGUGAGCCGGGCCCCCGACUCGCCCUGAAAUUUUUAAGAGGAAGCGCUGAGUAAAAUUAAAAGGAAACCGCGUCUGGAUCCUCCCUGCU